UAUCCCUGCAGUGCCAUGGCCUUGGCAGGCAGUGGGAGUUUGCCAUGCUUUGAUGGGGUUCCUGCAUUUGGUGGUAGUACAAAUGUUUUAUGUUUGAGGAAUAACCUCCCCCCUCUUUUUCCAACUUGUUUUUCUUGCAGUGCUCACAGUAUAUAUACAUACUUGAACAGUCACCUGGAUCUGAUUAAGAAAUCUUUGCCUGUGGGUUUCCUCACUGUUGAUUUACAUGUUUGGCCAGAUUUCCAUGGUAACAGAUCUCCCUUAACAGAUCUGACACUAAAGGGCAUGGUUGUUGGACUGACAUUGUCUCGGGGUCUGGAUGAACUUGCCCUUAUCUACCUGGCCACGAUCCAAGCCAUUGCUUUGGGAACAAGACAUAUUUUGGAGGUGAUGCAGGCUGCAGGACAUGACAUCUCCACGCUGUUCCUGUGUGGUGGGCUGAGCAAGAACCCUCUCUUUGUGCAGAUGCAUGCUGACAUUACUGGCAAACCUGUUGUGCUGUCCAAAGAAGUGGAGUCUGUUUUGGUGGGUGCUGCUAUUCUUGGAGCUUGUGCUUCUGGGGAUUUUGCAUCUAUCCAGGAGGCCAUGGCGAAAAUGGGAAAAAUUGGGAGAGUCGUGCAGCCCAACCACGAGCACAAAAGAUUUUAUGACAAGAAAUACGAAGUAUUUUUGAAGCUUGUGGAGCACCAGAGAGAGUAUCGCUCCAUCAUGAGCAGCGAGUGAUCCACAGGCAUGGGAUUUGGGAACAGCAGGGAUAACAAAUUUCCAGGCAUGUGUGAUGCGGAGUCCUGCAGAGAGGCUCAGGCUCCACUCACAUGGAGAAGCCAAGAAUAUGAUGGUUCCAAAGAAACGAAGAGCAGCUCUUAGGAACAAACUCCAUGAGAUCCACCCAGGUGAAGAUUUUUCACAAGACAAGAGUCAGGCAUGACAGCUGACAUACAGGGCAACUGUAGGACUUUUCCAGGUAAGAAUUCCAGAAGCACCUUCACUAGAAGGUUCUGGAUGCAGCCAUGGAUAGGGACACUUCCACCAGAGUAUUGCCAGUAACUGCAUCAGAAGGUAAUCACAUCACGGUACAGACUGUUUUUCUUUGCUGGGUCUCUUUCAAUCCAUUCAUUAUGUACUGCUCACUCAGUAAAUGCUGA